rnacentral:rRNA from 1 species
GAUGAACGCUGGCGGCGUGCCUAAUACAUGCAAGUCGAGCGAACAGACGAGGAGCUUGCUCCUCUGACGUUAGCGGCGGACGGGUGAGUAACACGUGGAUAACCUACCUAUAAGACUGGGAUAACUUCGGGAAACCGGAGCUAAUACCGGAUAAUAUAUUGAACCGCAUGGUUCAAUAGUGAAAGACGGUUUUGCUGUCACUUAUAGAUGGAUCCGCGCCGCAUUAGCUAGUUGGUAAGGUAACGGCUUACCAAGGCAACGAUGCGUAGCCGACCUGAGAGGGUGAUCAGCCACACUGGAACUGAGACACGGUCCAGACUCCUACGGGAGGCAGCAGUAGGGAAUCUUCCGCAAUGGGCGAAAGCCUGACGGAGCAAUGCCGCGUGAGUGAUGAAGGUCUUCGGAUCGUAAAACUCUGUUAUUAGGGAAGAACAAAUGUGUAAGUAACUAUGCACGUCUUGACGGUACCUAAACAGAAAGCCACGGCUAACUACGUG